CGGGGGAGAGGCGGAUGCCUGGAAAGAAGACGAUUCGCUCGGGCUCAGAAACGUCGCUUCCUGAAUAAACACAAGUCGGAGCGAUUCUGCUUUGAAGAAGCUUUGGCGGGCGUGAAGCCAGUGCUGGGAAUCAUAAAAUAAAGGAUUGCAAAGGGAUCCUGGAGAUCAUCUAGUCCAAAUCUCAAUCCAGUGCAUAAAUCCAAUACUGCCAUAUGUCUUACAGAAGGCCAUUUGUCCUCUGUGUAAUUGCCUCCAAUGAAAAAGAAUUAUCCCUCCCAAGAAUAUCUGUUCCACGUUGAACUACAAUUAUCAUUAUCAUUUUUCUCCUGAUGCCUAAUAUCUGCAUCCUUGUAAGAUUAGUUUGGCAUGAUUUGAUAAACUCACUGGAGCAUCUAUUCUGGCUAUAUCUGCUUUAAGAGCUCUGCACAUGGCUCACUGCAUUGUACUGCAUAUACCACCUUGCUCUGUUUGUGUCUGGGUGUUUUAUCCUUGCGGUGGACAAGCUUCUGCCUUACUAUAUUCUUGGGUAGUGAAGUGUCUACAUAUUUUAUGUUGGCUGAAGAUCCUCCUGAGCUGUUCUUAUUUAGGUAUUAUUUAGAUGAUCUAUCUAGCCACCCACCACUUAUAAUCAUGUCUAUAACUGGCAUACAUCAAAUAAAAUCUCCCAGAAGCAAUGUUUCAAUAAAAUCUAUGCAAUUUCAACAACAACCCUUCCAACAGAAAGAAAGAAAAGAAACCCAGAAGCUUAACGUAUCAACAGUAUAAGGCUGUUCCACCUCCCAGAAGGCUCAUCUAUUGUCUUGGCCCAAUGCCUGGAAGAAGAGCCAGGUUUUGAAAGAUUUUUAUAUCAUUCUGUUUACAUUUCACAGUUCCUUACAGAGAUAAUUCCACGAUUAUCUCUUCUUGUGCACAAAGUAAUAUUGGGAUAAUGCAUAAUUAUCUAUUUCCAUGAAUUAAAUAGAGAGAGUAAGAGAGAGACACUCUAGACAACAUAGUAUCAAUAGUAGAAACCUUCAAAUUUCUAGGUUCUACCAUAACGCAAGAUCUAAAAUGGACAGCUAACAUCAAAUACGUCAUCAAAAAAGAACAACAAAGAAUGUUCUUUCUGCGCCAACUCAGAAAGCUCAAACUGCCCAAGGAGCUGCUGAUCCAGUUCUACAGAGGAAUUAUUGAGUCUGUCAUCUGCACCUCUAUAACUGUCUGGUUUGGUUCUGCAACCCAGCAAGACAGACACAGACUUCAGAGGAUAAUUAGAACUGCAGAAAAAACAAUUGCUACCAACCUGCCUUCCAUUGAGGACCUGUAUACUGCACGAAUCAAAAAGAGGGCUGUGAAAAUACUUACAGAUACCUCACAUGCUGGACAUAAACUGUUUCAACUCCUACCCUCAAAAUGAUGCUAUAGAGCACUGCACACCAGAACAACUAGAUCCAAGAACAGUUUUUCCCCGACCGCUAUCACUCUGCUAAAUGAAUAAUUCCCUCAACACUGUCAAACUAUUUACUAAAUCUGCACUACUAUUAAUCUUCUCAUCGUUCCCAUCACCCAUCUCCUUCCACUUAUGACUGUAACUUUGUUGCUUGUAUCCUUACAAUUUAUACUGUAAGUGAUCGUUUCCUGAUUGCUUAAUUGUAGCCUAUGAUUAUCAUUAAGUGUUGUAUCAUUAAGUGUUAAAUUUGUAGCCUAUGACUAUCAUUAAGUGUUUUACCUUAGAAUUCUUGAUGAAGGUAUCUUUUC